CAUAGGAAGGCAUUUGCGGAAGGCACUCAUUCACGUACCGUCUAUAUAUGUAUAUUUUUAUACACACAUAGAUAGGCACAUGCACACUUGAGUUAUAACAGAUCUGUGGGAAAUACUGAACAAAAAAUAGAUGUUCAAAGCAUGUAUUUCUAAAUUGCUAUAUUAGCGUUAUACACAGAAGACAAUAGAAAAGUUAUACUAAAAAUAUAUCAAUAUGAAGACUGUGUCCUGGAUGCUGAUCAUGAAAUUCCAGUGAAUGUUCAUCCUGCGUUGCUGAAGUAGCGUACAGUUAAGAUACCAGUGAUUCUGACAGUAUUUGACUUGCACCAGGAAAAGAAACAAGCAAUGUCACAGACAGCUGAAGAGAUUUUUUUUAGAAAAUAUAUGGUUGCUGGAGGCCACAAUUCUGGUGAGAUGAUUAAUGGUUAGUGAGACCUGCAUCCCAUGGAGGAAGAGACAAAUCUCUCUCUGUGAGGCCAGCAGAAGGAAUGAGGCAAUUGAGGACCUGGAGGCUGCAGUUCAGAACAUCACUUCCUAGAACUGAAUCAUUGAGUCUGGAGGGAAGGAAAUGAAAGGCUUCCCUCUUUGCCAUAGUUUGGAAGAAAGAUUUGGAUUUCCCAUGCCAUCACUACCUUCUGUUUUUAAUAGCAAAAAGUGGCUCUUCAAAGAAAAGGAUUUGCCUUUUCUUUUUAAAAGAUGUAAAAGUCCUACAGUGUUGCUAACUCAUAGGCACCACAGACCUGUUUCCAAAAGAAGUUUCUAUGUGAGACACUGCUCUUCCAGACAGUAUAAGAGCUGGACUGUGUGGGAAGGAGACAUACAGUAAUUAUCAAUAAUUUAUGAAUGUGUAUGUUUGGCCCCAUAUGCAGAGUGUGCUCCUGCAACAUUUGAACUGCCAACUGAUGCUGAAUGGAAGCAACUUAUGUGGAGGAGAUAUGUAUAAUUUCCUGAAGGAAACAGAACAUCCAAAUAUUUGUCUUGGUUAAUAAGAGAAGACAGAGGAAUAAUGAAGAGGGUUUUCACAAAGUGAUAUGCUGGGAAGAUGAGAGUAAUGCAUUUUUUCUCUGUAAGUCUCUGAUGUCCUUGCCCAAGUUCAGAUGGGCUGAAAAUGCACCACUUUUGACUCAAGGCACAUUUGAACAAACUGCUACCAGACAGACACAAGAGUUGUAAACCUGAUAUCAGAAGAACAGUCUCUCUGCAUUUGAUGAUUACAAUGGGCAAAGAGUGCCUGAGGGUAUCAGACAGGGAAGAAACCUAAGCUCUCUUUUUUUGUUGUUGUUUGUUUUGGUUUUGGUUUGUUCUCUCUCCUUUCUUUUCCUUUCCUUUCCUUUCCUUUCUUUUCUUUUCUUUUCUUUUCUUUUCUUUUCUUUUCUUUUCUUUUCUUUUCUUUUCUUUUCUUUUCUUUUCUUUUCUUUUCUUUUCUUUUCUUUUCUUUUCUUUUCUUUUCUUUUCUUUUCUUUUCUUUUCCUUUCUCUUCUCUUCUCUUCUCUUCUCUUCUCUUCUCUUCUCUUCUCUUCUCUUCUCUUCUCUUCUUUCCUUUUCUUUCCUUUUCUUUCCUUUUCUUUCUUCUUUUCUUUCUUUUUUUUUUUUUAAUGGAUGCUUUAUCUACACUACAGAAGAAAGGAGAGUUAUGGGUUCAAACAAAUACCAUGUCUGAGCUCCUUCGUGCAACUUGUCGUCUAAGUUCAACUUUCCUCUAAAUCAGCUAUUUAUAUGAUCUCCUAAUGGUGGGUUUAGAGAUAAGAGCAGAAUGUAGAACAACGGUUUUUUGUUUGUUUUUUUUUUUAAGAAUGCCUGUCUUUUUUUAUUUCUAAAUUUUAUUCUUACUUUUUAUACUAGGUUCUAAAGGCACACGUCCAUAAAAUGCCAUCAAAUAAAAUUUUAUUUGUAGAUAUUAUAGAAAGUCUAUCUGUAAAAGUGUUUUCUGAGAGCAUUAGUACAUUAUUGCCCAAUCCAAGCUGACCAGCAAUUCUUCUCAGAAAAUGUGCCACAUUUGGUACACAUGUGCAUGUUUACAUGGACACAUGAAAAAGCCCAUACCAUGAGAAGGCUGAGUGCAUGCCAGCUCUGCCUGAAAGCUUUAUGGCCCUAUUAGUAGGAAGUGCUCCAAAGCUGAAAUACCCUUCCUUGUGUAAUUAACUCUCUCUGCCGUGGAGGUGGACUCAUGUUAAAGAAUGAUCUAUGAUCCUGCAGAUUUUCCUAAGAUUAUUGUUUUGGACUGAUGACAGUGCCUAAAGAAACACAUGAUAUCAUUUCCUUCAAAUUCCUUAUAAAAGUUUGUUCAAAUAUUUAUUAAAGAAUUGCAGGGCAAGCAUUUUCACAGCUAAUGUGAAAUCUCUUUGAUUUCACUUCUCAUCAAAAAUGUUGCAGUUAAUCAAACAUCAGGAACAGCACCAUAUGUUUAAUCUCAAUAAAAUUAGAGAAUAAUUUUGUAUGGAACAAAAAGAACAAAGACAUAGUCAAUGCAACUGUCCUAAUUCAGACUGCAAUGUUACCAGGACAAGAGCCUCUAUUCCAACAGGUCAGUAACAUACUUAUGACACCUUUUCCCUGAGUAUGGCUCAGACUUCUGUUUUCUACUACAAUACAGGAUAUAUUUGUUGGGAAAAAAAAGAUCACAAAACUCAGAGCAUGGCCUUGUCUGUUUCCAUAGUAAAUACAUAAAUUAUACAAGUUUCUUCUAUUUUUGAAAUAUUUUCCAAAGUUGAUAAUGAAAGAAUAAAUUAAAUCAUUUAUUGCAUAAAUUCACAAAAGACCAUUUUGCUUCAUAUGACACUUAGACUAGAAAAGUAUACAUUUUUAGAUCCUUGUUUCAGCCUUUGUAUUUAGAGUAAAUGAUCAAUCAGUACAGACGUGAGUAAAAAUCAAUAAAACAAAUACAUUUUCCUUGUGACUUGUCCAAAGGUUGUGAUUUAGUUGUAGUGCAACUUAAGUUGUUGGCCCUGUUACAUCAUGUACGACACUGUAACGUCUUUUUUUUUUUUUUUUUUUUUUAAAUUGAGGAAGGAGUAUGUAGCUCAAAAACCAAAGAGGAAGGGAUUUAAAAAUCCUAAGACCCCCCUAAAAAAAACAGUUUUCUGUUAAUGGGCUUUGUUACACCCAUUUUCCAACUGUAUCUUGAUCUGAAGCCCACUGAGGUACGCAAAUCUCUUUCCAUUGGCUAGUCAGCAUUGAAACAGGUUUUUGAAAUUUUAUAUGGUUAAAAUAUAGCAAUAAAACCUACAUAUGUGAAACAUUCACCAGAUGCAUUCCUCAUAUGGUGUUUCUCUUGAUGACAAUGACAUUUUCAUGCACAGAAUGCAUGCAGAAGUACUGCAUAGAGCAGAAAUAACUCACUCCAAAUAGUCAAUCCAAAACUCAAUAACUCAAUCGAAACUGUCCUCAAACUAUUCAUCAAGCAGUAAGAUUUUUAAAAAGUCAUCCUUUCACGGAGAACAUUCUUUUUUAAGAGAAUUCUCUAAAGGCAAGAUCUCAAAGACCAAGCUCACUGAGUUAGUCUAAUCUUUGCUGUAUGUGGAUUAAUGUAUGUGUAUUCAUCAGUUUGUAUACACCAAGUGGAAAAGGUCUCCUCCUAAAAUCAGUUGUAGCUCUUGGCCUGGGAAGACUGGCUAAGGGCAAAGGGAGAGGGAGAGAGAUUUUGUUACCACAGGCACAAAAAAUUCUGGCACCACUGCUUGCAACCGCAGGACAGAUCAGAGUAAUGAUAGUUUACAUUUUUUAAAUUUCCAGGAGGACAUAUUUAGCAUCCUAUGGGCUUAUCACUUAAAAAUAUAUGCCAUUCACUCCUUAAAUAAAAUUCCUAUUUUUAAUAACUUAUGCUUUGACCUUUCAGAAUAGACAAUGUUAUAAUAAAUUAACCCUAAUGCCUUCCUUAAAUAUCCUCUAAAAUGUUGCCUACUUCAGUGAUAAAAAUAGGAUCCAGAUUUUGAAGAUGUCCCAAGUGAAGUAGCAAGCGGCAUCUGUUGAAAUCAGAAUGUAUUGGACAUAAAUUGCUGUAUGCCUCAUUAAUGCCAGUCCCCACCAAACAGAUCACUAAAUAUGUAUUCACUGAUUCCAGAAGUGUCCAAAAAAAGCCAGCCUGGGGAAAGGGAGAGGUAUGCAUGUUCCUGGGAUCUGUUUUUGCCCUGUCAUUCCACAAUGCAGAAUAGGGCUAAUGUAGUUAUCUUGUCAGCUGAGAGACAGAGAUUCUGGAAGCAAUUUGGAGUUUUACUGCCUGCUGAAGACCAAAACUGAAACUUGUUUUCCAAGCAACUGAUCACAGAAUCAUAGAAUGGCCUGGGUUGAAAAGGACCACAGUGAUUGUCUAGUUUCAACCACCCCUGCUAUGUGCAGGGUUGCCAACCACUAGACCAGGCUGCCCAGAGCCACAUCCAACCUGGCCUUGAAUGCCUUCAGGGAUGGGGCAUCCCCAGUCUCCUUGGGCAAACUCUUCCAGUGCAUCACCACCCCCUGGGUGAAAAACUUCCUCCUAAUAUCUAACCUAAACCUCCCCUGUCUCAGUUUAAAACCAUUCCCCCUUGUCCUGUCACUAUCCACCCUCGUAAGCAGUCAUUCUCCCUCCUGUUGAUAUGCUCCCUUCAAGUACUGGAAGGCCAGUGAUGAGAGGAUUCAGUAAGAUGAGGCAUGCAGGUACAAAUUUCCUUUUUCAAAAUAUUUUUAUACCAAAUAAAUUAUUUUUUUCUAGCUCUGGUAAGAGGAGCUGAAACAGAGGAACUCAGCAGGAAAGGGAUUUUAGCUAGGCGUGGGGGUGACUUGGGUCCAAACUCUGCAAUACACAGAUGAGAAUUUGUGUAACUCUCACCUUGUAGAAUUGUUUCAUUUUUAGUGUUGAGCACAGAAGCGUACCCUGGCUAUGUAUUUUGCUGUACUUUGGCAUGUUUAGAGGAUUGAGCUGAAGAUACCCUAAUUAGAGAUUUCUGAUUUGGCUUGAACAUAAACAGCUUCUGUAUGCAUUUGUAUUUGUGCUUUAAAUAGCUUUUUGAGUAAAAAGUAUGCCAAGACUCUGAAAACUGGAGUCUGGGCUAGAUGAUAUCACUUGUUUGUUUGUUUGUUUGUUUUAUAGAUUUCCAAUCUGUAAAAAUCUGCAAUGCAUUUUGGACAACAGUUGUUUACCGUACCAUAGUGCGGUACUGAAUUUGGAAGAAUGCACAGAAGACUUUAAAAUUUCACAUGACACAGAUUCUUGCAACAACUAGAACUUGCAUUCCUGAGGAGUUAUCUGCCCCAUCAAUUAAAGACCCUUUGUGUAGGCUGAGCCAUUGGUGGCAUUUCUUCCCAGGAGAUUAUAUGAAAGAGGCAUUUUAUGUCUUUGCUGCAGACUUUCUGCCUCACUCUGCCUGAAGCAGGCAGAGAAUUGAAAAGGAUGUGCCCCAUACAUGUAAAAUAUAUACAAGGGCUGCUCCAAAAAUAAUGCCUCCCAUUUAUUAUGUUGGCCCACAAUGUCAGAGGUGGAUGUUGGUGGUAUGGAAGCAGAGAUUGAACCUUCUCACGAACAUUCUGUUACAUGUUGUUGUUUUGCGACAGAUGGCGGCAGAGGGGCAGUCUGACAAAAUGGCGUCUGAUAUGGAAGUGUGUAUGGAACAAAGGCACCUCACUGAAUUCCUCCGUGGAAAAAAUGGCACCCAUUGACAUCCAUUGAUGUUUGCUGAACGUUGAUGGAGACCAAAUAGUGGAUAUGAGCUCAGAGAGGCAGUGGGUGGGUGGUGAGUUUCAACACUGGUGACAGCAACAGUGGGUCACCUCCGCUGGCACAGAUUUUUACAAGCGCGACAUGCGUGCUCAUCUUCAUCUCGGGUGAAAAUGCAUAAAAUAGUGUUAUUGUCUUUUUGGUAUGUGUGGUAGUUUGCAUGUAAAUAAAUGGGAGGCAUUAUUUUCAGAGCAGCCUGAAACUUCAGGAAAUUUUAGUAACAAGUAAUUAUGAAAUAAAAGAAUGCUACUCACAUGAACAUGGUAGAGGUAAGAGAAAACUGGUAAUCACUGAGGAGGGAAAUAUAGAAUAUAAAAAUCUUUGGCAUUAUGUCUUUGGCUUGUUUGGCUACUUGGUAUUAGAGGUUUCAGCACAUUAGCUUUUAUAGAACAAAUACAUUCUGUGAAGGGAUCUGUUCCAUUAAAAGGCUCCUAUUAUGAACUGACCUGCUACAGUCAUACAGAUGCAGUCUUUCACAUUAUCCUGAACUGAAUAAAUAUCAAUCAUUUUCUUUACUUUGAAAAAUCACAGUUAUUCCUCUAUUUUAACAGUCCCCUUACUUUCCUGUACUGCAAGUCAUUUUUAGUUAUUCUGAUGAGUCAUAGCCAGCAUAUUAUUCUGCAGCAUUUCACUCCAUUUUCUUUUUUGCUAAAACUUUGCCUACAGUAACUUUGGCCCCGUUAGUCCUUGAUUUGUCCCAUCCAACACUCAAGCUUAUAACUGACAUAGGAAAUUAAUAACUUUAGGCUUCCUGAAUAUGUUAUAGGCACCUUGAAAAUGUAAAUUCAUGCUGCUGCACCCCAGUGCUGCAUAUUCCCAGUUCAGUGAGUACUGAAAAAAGCUUCAAGUGAUAGCUCAGAUAGAGGUACCUCAAGAGGGAUUAAUUCAGAUCCUGAUUUCUUUAAAUCAGUACUUUUAAAAAUAAACUAACUUUCAUACAGAUGCAUACAGAAAAUUUACCAGUGCAACUGGUAAAUACCAGGCAGAUUUGAGGUUCAUUAUCAUAGAAUCAUAGAAUCAUAGAAUGGUUGAAGAGGACCAUAAUGAUCAUCUAGUUUCAACCCCCCUUGCUAUGGGCAGGGUUGCCAACCACUAGACCAGGCUGCCCAGAGCCACAUCCAGCCUGGCAUUGAAUGCCUCCAGGGAUGGGGCAUCCACAACCUCCUUGGGCAACCUGUUCCAGUGCAUCACCACCCCCUGGGUGAAAAACUUCCUCCUAAAAUCUAACCUAAACCUCCCCUGUCUUUGUUUAAAACCAUUCCCCUUGUCCUAUAGCUAUCCACCCUCGUAAACAGCUGUUCCCCCUCCUGUUGAUAUGCUCCCUUCAAGUACUGGAAGUCCACAACGAGGUCCCCCCAGAGCCUUCUCUUCUCCAAGCUAAACACGCCCAGUUCCCUCAGCCUUUCUUGAGAGGUGCUCUAGCCCUCUGAUCAUCUUAGUGGCCCUCCUCUGUACCCACUCCAAUUGCUCCACAUCCUUCCUGUACUGGGGGCCCCAGGCCUGGACACAGUACUCCAGAUGGGGCCUCCCAAGAGCCGAGUAGAAGGGGACAAUCACCUCCCUCUCCCUGCUGGCUACACCUUUUUUAAUGCCCAGAACACAUUUGGCCUUCCGGGCUGCAAGCGCACUGCUGGCUCAUGUCCAGCUUCUCAUCCACCAGGACCCCCAAGUCCUUCUCCACAGGGCUGCUUCCAAGGGUUUCUUCACACAAUCUGUAUAAACACCUGCAGCACUCAACCCAAGUGCAGCACCGUGCACUUGGCCUUAUUGAACCUCAUUAGAUUUUCAUGGGCCCACUUCUCCAGCCUCUCCAGGUCCCCCUGGAUGGCUUCCCUUCCUUCCAACGUAUCGACUGCACCAUUCAGCUUGGUGUCAUCUGCAAACUUGCUGAGGGUGCACUCGAUGCCAUCCAUCGUCUGUGUCACUGAUGAAGAUGUUGAAGAGCACUGGUCCCAAGACCGACCCCUGAGGGACACCACUUGUGAGUGGCCUUCACCCUGACACAGAACCAUUGAUCACAGCUCUUUGGCUGUGUCCAGCCAGCCAGUUCCUAACCCAUCGAACAGUCCAUCUUUCAAAUCCUCACCUCUCCAAUUUAGAGAGAAUGUGGUAAGGGACUAUGUCUGGGAAGAUUACAUCUGUUGCCCUUCCCCUAUCCACCGAAGCCGUCAUUCCAUCAUAGAAGGCCACCAGAUUGGUCAGGCAGGAUCUGCCCUUGUUGAAGCCAUGCUGGCUGUCUCAGAUCACCUCCUUGUGUCGCAUGUGCCAUAACAUAGCUUCUAGGAGGAUCUGCUCCAUGGUCUUCCCAGGUCUCACAGAGGUGAGACUCACCAGCUUGUAGUUCCCUGGGUCUUCCUUUAAUGGCAUAAUGGCAUUGGUGACCUUUAAAUCUAUGCACCCACAGUUUAAGAUACAGGGCUGAGGGAAAGCAUCUACUAUUAGUCUGGCUAUAAAUCUUUUACUAAGUGAAAAGACUAUUACAUCUAUAUCAAUGUGCUCUACAGCCCUGUAGUGAAAAAUCAUGAAAAUGAGUAUAUUGCUGAAAUAUAUAAUAGUGGACUGUAAAAUGAAGCAAAGUUUUAAUGACCAGUUUGCAAUGUUCCAUGUAGUGUACAAUUCACAACAAGAUUGAUCACAGUUGCCUUUCUUGAGAUAAAUAUUUGUUCCAAAAGUUUGCUUUCCUUUUCUAUAUAAUUGUUUUGGGGUUUUUUGUUUGUUUGUUUGUUUGUUUUUGUUUUGUUUUGUUUUUUUUUCCUAUGGAAGAUAAUUUUCUGAUAACUAACAACUGAUGUUCAGUUUGUACCAGUGUUCUUUCUUUGCUACUCUGUAAACGAGCUCACAAUCUUACAGCUGCUGAGGUUGUUGCAAAAAGUCUUGGUUUCUUCAUCAAAGUAUUUUUUUUACAUAUAAAAUGGAUGGGAACAUUUUCUGAACCUUCAGUAUUUCCCUUGUCCCUUCUUUUGUUCUUGUUUGUUUGUUCUUAUUCAGUCUCAUCAUCUUCUGGCAUUGUUCUUGACUAAUUGUAACGGACUGAUUGCUAACAUGUGUUGUCAAUGGAUUGUUUGCUGGCAUAUCUGACAAUAUUACCAUCUACUUCAGCCGUUUAUAAAUUUUGGUGUUUUUAU
rnacentral:lncRNA from 1 species